rnacentral:ncRNA from 1 species
UCUCUGCCUAGCUCGACGGAGCGAAAAACCGGACACCUUCACCGGCCUGGCAGAGGUACCCGAAUGAAGG